GACGAACGCUGGCGGCGCGCUUAACACAUGCAAGUCGAGCGAGAACCUGGGCUUCGGCCCUGGGGACAGCGGCGAACGGGUGAGUAACACGUGGGUAAUCUGCCCUUGACAUCGGGAUAGCCCGGGGAAACCCGGAUUAAUACCGAAUAGCCUCCGGAGCCUUCGGGCGCCGGAGAAAAGGUAGCUUCGGCCUCUGGUCGAGGAUGAGCCCGCGGCGGAUUAGCUUGUUGGCGGGGUAACGGCCCACCAAGGCGACGAUCCGUAGCUGGUCUGAGAGGACGAUCAGCCACACUGGGGCUGAGACACGGCCCAGACUCCUACGGGAGGCAGCAGUGGGGAAUCUUGCGCCAAUGCGGGAAACCGUGACGCAGCGACGCCGCGUGGGGGAAGAAGGCCUUCGGGUUGUAAACCUCUUUCAGGAGGGACGAAGCCACUCGGGUGAAUAGCCCAGAGGGUGACGGUACCUCCAGAAGAAGCCCCGGCUAACUACGUGCCAGCAGCCGCUGUAA
rnacentral:rRNA from 1 species